rnacentral:rRNA from 1 species
GACGAACGCUGGCGGCGUGCUUAACACAUGCAAGUCGAACGGAAAGGCCCUGCUUUUGUGGGGUGCUCGAGUGGCGAACGGGUGAGUAACACGUGAGUAACCUGCCCUGGACUUUGGGAUAACUUCAGGAAACUGGGGCUAAUACCGGAUAGGAGCUCCUGCGGCAUGGUGGGGGUUGGAAAGUUUCGGCGGUGGGGGAUGGACUCGCGGCUUAUCAGCUUGUUGGUGGGGUAGUGGCUUACCAAGGCUUUGACGGGUAGCCGGCCUGAGAGGGUGACCGGCCACAUUGGGACUGAGAUACGGCCCAGACUCCUACGGGAGGCAGCAGUGGGGAAUAUUGCACAAUGGGCGGAAGCCUGAUGCAGCAACGCCGCGUGCGGGAUGACGGCCUUCGGGUUGUAAACCGCUUUCGCCUGUGACGAAGCGUGAGUGACGGUAAUGGGUAAAGAAGCACCGGCUAACUACGUG